rnacentral:rRNA from 1 species
CCUAGGAAUCUGCCUGGUAGUGGGGGACAACGUUUCGAAAGGAACGCUAAUACCGCAUACGUCCUACGGGAGAAAGCAGGGGACCUUCGGGCCUUGCGCUAUCAGAUGAGCCUAGGUCGGAUUAGCUAGUAGGUGAGGUAAUGGCUCACCUAGGCGACGAUCCGUAACUGGUCUGAGAGGAUGAUCAGUCACACUGGAACUGAGACACGGUCCAGACUCCUACGGGAGGCAGCAGUGGGGAAUAUUGGACAAUGGGCGAAAGCCUGAUCCAGCCACGCCGCGUGUGUGAAGAAGGUCUUCGGAUUGUAAAGCACUUUAGGUUGGGAGGAAGGGCAGUAAGUUAAUACCUUGCUGUUUUGACGUUACCAACAGAAUAAGCACCGGCUAACUUCGUGCCAGCAGCCGCGGUAAUACGAAGGGUGCAAGCGUUAAUCGGAAUUACUGGGCGUAAAGCGCGCGUAGGUGGUUCAGCAAGUUGAAGGUGAAAUCCCCGGGCUCAACCUGGGAACUACCUCCAAAACUACUGAGCUAGAGUACGGUAGAGGGUAGUGGAAUUUCCUGUGUAGCGGUGAAAUGCGUAGAUAUAGGAAGGAACACCAGUGGCGAAGGCGACUACCUGGACUGAUACUGACACUGAGGUGCGAAAGCAUGGGGAGCAAACAGGAUUAGAUACCCUGGUAGUCCACGCCGUAAACGAUGUCGACUAGCCGUUGGGAUCCUUGAGAUCUUAGUGGCGCAGCUAACGCAUUAAGUCGACCGCCUGGGGAGUACGGCCGCAAGGUUAAAACUCAAAGGAAUUGACGGGGGCCUGCACAAGCGGUGGAGCAUGUGGUUUAAUUCGAAGCAACGCGCAGAACCUUACCAGCGUUUGACAUCCU